GGGUGAGAGCCCCGUCGU
rnacentral:snRNA from 1 species